rnacentral:rRNA from 1 species
UACGUAGGGUGCGAGCGUUAAUCGGAAUUACUGGGCGUAAAGCGUGCGCAGGCGGUUAUGUAAGACAGAGGUGAAAUCCCCGGGCUCAACCUGGGAACUGCCUUUGUGACUGCAUGACUAGAGUACGGCAGAGGGGGAUGGAAUUCCGCGUGUAGCAGUGAAAUGCGUAGAUAUGCGGAGGAACACCGAUGGCGAAGGCAAUCCCCUGGGCCUGUACUGACGCUCAUGCACGAAAGCGUGGGGAGCAAACAGG